rnacentral:tRNA from 1 species
CUCUGUAGCUCAGUUGGUAGAGCGCACGACUGAAAAUCGUGAGGUCACGGGAUCGACGCCCGUCGGAGCCA